UUCAAGUAAAAAUAGAGUUGUAUUGUUAUUAUUAUUAUUGUUUGAUAAAAAGUAAAUACAUGAUUCUAUUUUGCAAUUUUUUUUUUUUAACUUAAAGAAGUAAGAAAUAUGAAUCUCACGUACAUGUAAUCAAGAUGUACAAUUUUUUGACAAUUGUUAUCAACUUUGAUAUAUACACAACAACUGUUGUCCAGAAUGUAAAGUGAGAAUGUAAAAGUAAUUUUGAAAAUGUGAAUUUACAUCAAAUAUUUCAUCUCUUGCUCCUCUACAUUAGGACAACCUUAUAAGGUGAUGCUCGAAUAAUUCGCCAAGUUUUGGUUCAAUAAUUCUUAACCGCCAAGCAUGAUUUCAAAAAUCGAUGGCUCCUCGUUGCGUAACCCGGCCCUUUCUCCUCCUUCCCAAGCCUCCAUUAAAUAAUCUCGCAUCAGUAUCCAUCUAUAGAUUUUCUACGGUUACAAAGGCUACUCAAGUGCCCUCCAUUUACAGAAAGACAUUUUCCCAUAUAUUCCAAGGAUGCUCCAGCCAAAGAGCACUAGACCCGGGCAAACAGGCCCAUGCUCGAGUUAUAAUAUCUGGGUUCAAACCCACGAUUUUUGUCACCAAUUGCUUGAUUCAAAUGUACAUCAGAUGUUGCCGUUUGGAUUGUGCUAAUAAAGUGUUCGAUCAAAUGUCUCAACGUGACACAGUUUCGUGGAACGCCAUGAUUUUUGGAUAUUCGAUUAGUGGGAAGAUGGGUUUGGCGCAGGCUUCUUUUGAUAUGAUGCCUGAGAAAGAUGUGAUUUCUUGGAAUUCUCUGAUAUCUGGGUACUUGCAGAAUGGGAAUUAUUUAAAGGCAGUUGAGAUUUUUGCAGUAAUGCGGAGAGAGGAUUUUUUUUACGAUGAGACCACUUUUGCUGGUAUUUUAAGAGCAUGUUCAGGUUUAGAAGAUAAUGUUUUGGGGGUUCAGGUACAUGGGAUUGUAGUCAAGUUGGGGUUUGAUUCUGAUGUGGUAACAGGGAGCGCAAUUUUAGAUAUGUAUGGCAAAUGCAAGAGGUUGGAUGAGUCGCUGCGUUUUUUUGAUCAAAUGCCAGAGAGAAAUUGGGUUUCUUGGAGCGCAUUGAUAGCAGGUUGUGUGCAGAAUGACGAACCUGUGGGUGGGAUAGAGCUAUUCAAAGAGAUGCAAAGAGUGGGAGUUGGGGUAAGUCAAUCUACAUAUGCAAGUGUUUUCAGGUCUAGUGCAGGUUUAGCAGCUUUAAGGUUGGGUUCUCAAUUGCAUGGUCAUUCGUUGAAGAACAAUUUUGGAGUUGAUGUCAUUGUAGGAACUGCCACAUUGGACAUGUAUGCAAAGUGUAACAAUUUAGAUGAUGCGAGGAAGGUGUUCAAUUUGUUGCCAAACCAUAACUUGCAAUCUUAUAAUGCGUUAAUUACUGGAUAUGCUAGAUGUGAUCGUGGACUCGAAGCUUUACAAUUAUUUUUGCACUUGUUGAAGGCUGGUCUUGGUUUUGAUGAAAUAAGCCUAUCAGGUGCAUUUAGUGCCUGUGCAGUGAUUAAUGGACUUCUAGAGGGAAUUCAAGUACAUGGAUUGGCAACAAAGACACCUUUCCAGUCUAAUAUUUGUGUAGGUAAUGCCAUUUUGGAUAUGUAUGGAAAAUGUGGAUCACUGGUUGAAGCUUGGUGUGUAUUCGACAGAAUGAAAACAAGGGAUGCUGUCUCUUGGAAUGCAAUAAUUGCCUCUUGCGAACAGAACAAAUGUGAGGAGGAAACUCUAUUGCUAUUUACUUGGAUGCUUCAGUCAAGGAUGGAGCCGGAUGAAUUCACUUAUGGCAGUGUUUUAAAAGCUUGUGCAGGUAGACAAGCUCUGAAUUCUGGAAGGGAGAUCCAUGGUAGAGUUAUCAAGUCCGGAAUGGGGUUGGACACAUUUGUUGGGAUUGUUCUAGUGGAUAUGUACUGCAAGUGCUCGGUGAUAGAAGAUGCAGAGAAACUUCAUCACAGAAUGGAGGAGCAGACAACAGUUUCAUGGAAUGCAAUCAUGUCUGGGUUCUCAUCUCAUGAACAGAGUGAGGGAGCUCAGAUUUGCUUUUCUAAGAUGUUAGAAAUGGGUGUCAAACCUGAUAAUUUCACAUUUGCCACAAUUCUCGAUUCUUGUGCUAAUCUAGCAACUGUAGGUCUUGGGAAGCAGAUCCAUGCUCAAAUCAUCAAGCAGGACUUGCAAUCAGAUGUGUACAUCAACAGCACUCUAGUUGACAUGUAUUCAAAAUGUGGAAACAUGCAGGAUUCUAGGUUGAUGUUUGAUAAAUCGCCUAAUCGUGAUUUUGUGACAUGGAAUGCUAUGGUUUGUGCCUAUGCUAACCAUGGACUUGGUGAAGAAGCUUUACAAAUUUUUGAGAAAAUGCAGAUUCAGAAUGUAAGACCAAAUCACGCAACUUUUGUGGCAGUUCUUCGUGCUUGUGCACAUAUUUGUCUUGUUGAGAGAGGGUUGUUCUACUUCAACUCUAUGCAAACUGACUACGGAUUAGAUCCACAGUUGGAACAUUACUCGUCUAUGGUGGAUAUACUUGGUAGAUCAGGUCAAGUUACUGAUGCUCUGAAGCUUAUUGAAGAAAUGCCUUUCGAGGCUGAUGAUGUAAUUUGGAGAACCCUGCUUAGUAUUUGCAGGAUGCAUGGGAAUGUCGAGGUGGCAGAAAAAGCAGCAAGUUCUCUUCUGCAAUUGGACCCUGAGGACUCUUCGGCCUAUGUUCUUCUAUCGAAUAUUUAUGCUGAUGCAGAGAUGUGGACAGAGGUUUCAAAUAUGAGGAAAGUGAUGAGGUAUAGUAGGCUGAAAAAGGAACCAGGCUGCAGCUGGAUUGAGGUCCUGUCGGAGGUACAUAUGUUUCUUGCCAUGGACAAAGCUCAUCCAAGAUGUAGAGAGAUAUAUGAGAACCUGGAUAUGCUAAUUAGUGAGAUGAGAUUGGCCGGAUAUGUGUCUGAUAGCAAGCUUAUGAUAUGUGAUAUAGGGACAGAAGAUGGGCAGCAAGAACUGCAUCCUGCAUAUGCAGUCUCUUCUUUUUGAGGCAUUCUACAAAUUAAAAUUUGAGAGCCUUUUCGAGUAUAUUAAAAUCCUAUUGGUUCUCCCUCCAAUUAGAAGGAAGUUUGACUUGGAUUAUCUUGGUUCAGUUCAGAUUUUUGGUCAUGCUAUGCUCAUUUACAAGUCAAUGAGCCAAUGGAAGUUAAUGAUGCUCAUGGCUAUUCAUGUUGCCUUCCAACUGCUAAUUUUUUGGCGUUUGAAAGGAGGAGAGAAAAUUGGGAACUCCAGAGUAAAAGGCAGUAAAUUACCACACUUAGUUCCAGUCUCUGAAUUCCUCGUUACAUUUUGUUUUCUUCUCUGACUGGGCGAAUAUUUUGCAGACUCGUACAGACAUCAUCAACUGCAAUCUGAAUGGUGUCAAUUGUGGAUUGGACACUCCAAAAUCAAGUUUUCUGAUUCGUGAUGUCAUCCAGUGGUUUGGUGAGUGCAGCCAAUCUCCCAAUGGUUGAUACCUAGUCUUGGGUAGGGAAGAACCCUGUAUUCUCCUUGUGUUGUUAUAAUGGAAGAUUUGCUCGGUUCAUACAUGGUUUUUCCCCAUGUUGGGGUUACCCUGUGAAUCUUGUGUGACUUUUUUAUUUUCUUGCUGCUGCUAUUUAAUCUUUUUUGUUUGGCCUGUUUUGGUACACCAGGGAAGAUUUGUUCUUGGUGAAUGGAUCACGAAGGUGUUGAAAAGGAAAAGAGCAACAUGAAAGCAAACCUGAUAGACAGUCUAUUACAAGGACUCAACAAAACAAAAGCCAGAAAAUCAUAUUCUCUCGCUGCCACAUCUAAAACAAGUAUGUCCAAGUUAACCUACUUCUCAGAGGAACGCACUAAAUCUAGUUCAGCCAUUGUUAAAAUUUCGGCUGCACUUUCUACUUGACCCUUGUUUGGUGGGAAUUAAAAUCAGAUUUUUAGUAGAUUAUGAUAACAGUUGAUAAAAUGUAUGGUUGAAAAAUUGUGAAACUCAUGUAAUAUGUGAUUAAAAUUAAUUGUCGACUUUGACUUAAAUUAAAAUUUGA
rnacentral:lncRNA from 1 species